rnacentral:rRNA from 1 species
UACAGAGGGGGCAAGCGUUGUUCGGAAUUACUGGGCGUAAAGGGCGCGUAGGCGGCCUGCUAAGUCGAACGUGAAAUCCCUGGGCUCAACCCAGGAACUGCGUCCGAUACUGGUUGGCUUGAAUCCGGGAGAGGGACGUGGAAUUCCAGGUGUAGCAGUGAAAUGCGUAGAUAUCAGGAGGAAUACCGAUGGCGAAGGCAGGUCUCUGGGCUAACACUGACGCUCAUGCACGAAAGCGUGGGGAGCAAACAGG